rnacentral:lncRNA from 1 species
AUAAUGAAAUCAGUAAUUCUUGCAUCUCAUCAUUAUUUGUGCUUUAGUAUUUGAUAUGAUUUGCUAGUAGUGAUCAAUUUUGUGAUAUAGAAAAUACUUUUGGAAAUAUAAUCAAAUCAUUUCAUUUUACUCACUAGUGGAUCAGGUGCUAAAUGAUUAAUCAACUUAUUAAGAAUAACCCUAUGAAUUCUCUAUAUGCUUGAUUGAGAGGUUUUAUCUAUGGCAUUAUUGUUUAUUGAUCAUAGAUAUGAUAAUGUGUACUUGGUAUGCUUUUGAAUAUAUGCACUAUGAAUACCAAGAUUAAAGAAACCAUAUUUGGCAUAUGAAAUCAGCUCAUGCUAGUAUGUACUUAAUCUCAAAAGACCUUGCCAUAGGCUUACUUAGAUUAUCCUCUUAAAGGUCGAAGUUUUACUAUGCAUGCUAAAUAAGGAAACAAAUAAAAAUAAUUUCUAAAUCUAGAGAUGUUGUUUCCAACACUAAUUUUUCAAAAGCUUACAUUAGCCUUGUUCUUGGCACUCAAAUUAAAAUAUUUUCUGCAUUGGCACAAACUCACAAAAAGCGAUCAAAUGAUAAAGGUUUGC